rnacentral:rRNA from 1 species
CCUACGGGCGGCAGCAGUGGGGAAUAUUGGACGAUGGGGGCAACCCUGAUCCAGCCAGGCCGCGUGUGUGAAGAAGGCCCUCGGGUUGUAAAGCACUUUCAGUGAGGAAGAACGCCUGGUGGUUAAUACCCAUCAGGAAAGACAUCACUCACAGAAGAAGCACCGGCUAACUCCGUGCCAGCAGCCGCGGUAAUACGGAGGGUGCGAGCGUUAAUCGGAAUUACUGGGCGUAAAGCGCGCGUAGGUGGCUUGAUAAGCCGGUUGUGAAAGCCCCGGGCUCAACCUGGGAACGGCAUCCGGAACUGUCAAGCUAGAGUGCAGGCGAGGAAGGUAGAAUUCCCGGUGUAGCGGUGAAAUGCGUAGCGAUCGGGAGGAAUACCAGUGGCGAAGGCGGCCUUCUGGACUGACACUGACACUGAGGUGCGAAAGCGUGGGUAGCAAACAGGAUUAGAUACCCUUGUAGUC